rnacentral:rRNA from 1 species
UACAGAGACUGCAAGCGUUGUUCGGAUUCAUUGGGCGUAAAGGGUGCGCAGGCGGUUUGUUAAGUCGGGUGUGAAAUCUCACAGCCUAACUGUGAUAGGUCAUUCGAAACUGGCAGACUUGAGGAUUGGAGAGGAGACUGGAAUAGUUGGUGUAGCAGUGAAAUGCGUAGAGAUCAACUAGAACACCGGUGGCGAAGGCGAGUCUCUGGACAAUUCCUGACGCUCAGGCACGAAAGCCAGGGGAGCAAACGGG